rnacentral:rRNA from 1 species
UAGCGACAGGCCUAACACAUGCAAGGUCAGGGGCAGCACAAGGAGCAAGUCUGAGGUGGCGACCGGCGGCACGGGUGAGUAACACGUAUGCAACCUGCCUGUAAGCGGGGAAUAACCCGUUGAAAGACGGACUAAUACCGCAUAAUACUAAAUUACUGCAUGGUAAUUUAUUUAAACAUUUAUGGCUUACAGAUGGGCAUGCGCAUGAUUAGCUAGUUGGAGAGGUAACGGCUCCCCAAGGCAACGAUCAUUAGGGGUUCUGAGAGGAAGGUCCCCCACACUGGUACUGAGACACGGACCAGACUCCUACGGGAGGCAGCAGUGAGGAAUAUUGGUCAAUGGACGAGAGUCUGAACCAGCCAAGUCGCGUGCAGGAAGAAUGUCCCUAUGGAUUGUAAACUGCUUUUGCAGGGGAAUAAAGUGCAUCACGUGUGAUGUUUUGUAUGUACUCUGCGAAUAAGGAUCGGCUAACUCCGUGCCAGCCGCGGC